rnacentral:rRNA from 1 species
AGAGUGCGUAAUAGCUCACUGGUCAAGUGGUUCUGCGCCGACAAUGUAGCGGGGCUCAAGCGUACCGCCGAAGCUGUGGCAACAACACGCGAUGCUGGCGCCAGGAACUGGAGUGCUGGUGUGUUGUUGGGUAGGGGAGCGUCCUGCACGAGGUGAAGCCUGGAGGGAACUUCUGGUGGAUUGUGUGGGAGUGAGAAUGCAGGCAUGAGUAACGAAUCUGCGGUGAGAAUCCGCAGCGCCGAUUGACUAAGGGUUCCAGGGCUAGGUUUAUCCGCCCUGGGUUAGUCGGGUCCUAAGGCGAGGCCGACAGGCGUAGUCGAUGGACAACCAGUUGAUAUUCUGGUACCGCGUUAUGACCGCCCAUGCUGAAGUCAUUGUGCUAA